UGACCUCAAAUCAGGUAGGACUACCCCGCUGAACUUAAGCAUAUCAAUAAGCGGAGGAAAAGAAACUAACAAGGAUUCCCCUAGUAACUGCGAGUGAAGCGGGAAAAGCUCAAA
rnacentral:rRNA from 1 species